rnacentral:tRNA from 1 species
GGGCUGGGGCUCAGUGGUAGAGCACUGACCUAGCAUGUGUGAGGCCCUGGGUUCAAUUCUCAGCACCACA